rnacentral:rRNA from 1 species
CCUACGGGUGGCUGCAGUGGGGAAUAUUGGACAAUGGGCGAAAGCCUGAUCCAGCCAUGCCGCGUGUGUGAAGAAGGCCUUCGGGUUGUAAAGCACUUUCAGUGGGGAAGAAAGCCUUGGGGCUAAUACCCUCGAGGAAGGACAUCACCCACAGAAGAAGCACCGGCUAACUCCGUGCCAGCAGCCGCGGUAAUACGGAGGGUGCGAGCGUUAAUCGGAAUUACUGGGCGUAAAGCGAGCGUAGGCGGUCUGAUAAGCCGGUUGUGAAAGCCCCGGGCUCAACCUGGGAACGGCAUCCGGAACUGUCAGGCUAGAGUGCAGGAGAGGAAGGUAGAAUUCCCAGUGUAGCGGUGAAAUGCGUAGAGAUCGGGAGGAAUACCAGUGGCGAAGGCGGCCUUCUGGACUGACACUGACGCUGAGGUGCGAAAGCGUGGGUAGCAAACAGGAUUAGAUACCCUUGUAGUC